rnacentral:rRNA from 1 species
GUGCCAGCCGCCGCGGUAAUACGUAGGUGGCAAGCGUUAUCCGGAAUUAUUGGGCGUAAAGCGCGCGUAGGCGGUUUUUUAAGUCUGAUGUGAAAGCCCACGGCUCAACCGUGGAGGGUCAUUGGAAACUGGAAAACUUGAGUGCAGAAGAGGAAAGUGGAAUUCCAUGUGUAGCGGUGAAAUGCGCAGAGAUAUGGAGGAACACCAGUGGCGAAGGCGACUUUCUGGUCUGUAACUGACGCUGAUGUGCGAAAGCGUGGGA